rnacentral:rRNA from 1 species
AUGGUGGGUUUGCCCAGCAAGCUCAUGGGUCUGCUGCCCCCCCUCUUCUUCGUCAUCUGUGUCGUUUGGGAGUUUGUCAUUCCGCUCACCACCCUCUGGACAUGGCGUCUCGCGCUCGCCACGACCUUUGCUCAAGUGCACCAUCUACUCUUCCUACGCCUAUCCGUGACCUGCAUCCCUGCUUCAGUUGCGCUCUGGGCUACAUUUGUACGCUGGGUUGCACCAUUUUCUGUAGCUCCAUAUGUGCGCUGGGUUCAACGCCUGGUUACUUGGAGUGAGAGCCAGGAGUUUUGGUUAUUUGAUGCCUUCCAGGUCCUAGCGAUAUUGGCUGUUGAAGUUUCCUUGGCGGUGGUAAUAGUUGACAUGGCCCUUGCUUGUAUAUUUUGUUUUGUCCCAUCUUCAUUGGGAAGGAUAAUUCUAUGGUCAACAUCAUGUCUCAGUUUUGGCAAUGUGGAUGAAGUCAAUUCUUACACUUCAACAGCUUCUACCCUUCUAAUUGGAUAUGGACUUAUCUUUAAGGUGGGUGCAAGUUUUGCUGUGGUGCAUACUUAUCUGUACUUGAGGGGCAAGCGCCUUGUGGUCACAAUUUUCUUUAGAAGAUUGUAUGGUAUAUUCUUCAGAGGGAUCAUAAAAUUAACCAGAGUUGCCAAUAUUUCUCUUAAUAUCCUAUACGACGUGAUAAUAUACCCGUUGUUCUUCGGCUGGUCGCUUGAUAUCUGCACUUCAAAAAUGUUUGGUGCAACAAUGUCCCAGAGGUUCAAUUUUCUGAUUGCUUCUGCUGCCCUACAUUGGCUUAUUGGACGCUCCUUUUUGAAACUACGCCCCAAAUUAUUCAGACUUCUUCACAAGAUAUUCGGGCCAGGAGUUGUCACUCCCUUUCUCCACUAUAACUUCUCCGAACCAUUCUACAAAUUUUAUUUGAAGAACCUUCUUGGUCUUUUUGUGGACACUUUCUUUGUUGUUCUGGUCAUUCUUGUCCCUAUCAAAAUUGCUGACCUUUUGGCACCAGAGGUGUUCCCACUAGAUAUCACCUACUUUGAUCAUCCUGCUAAGGGCACAUCAGUUUGGCAAAGGCCACUACUAAACUUUGCAGAGUUACUUUCUGCUGUUCAUCACAUGUCGUAUCUCAUUGGCAAAACAGUCAUCUACCUUGGGCGUGUAAUGGAGAGGGUAGUGGGGUACUGGUUUGUCACUACUGGUCAGGCUCUUGGGAACAAUGUUGCACCAAAAGACCAGUAUGGUACCAGCGAUGAUGCUAAGGAUGAAUGCACGAGAUAUGCUGCUGUUCGAACAAUUCUACGCUUGGUCCUAGCAUGGUCGACUGCUGUGAUAUUCUAUUCUGCUAUGCUUUUGUUUCCAGUCUCAGUAGGUCAUGCAUUGCUCAUUGCCAUCCCUCCGCUGCCAGUAGCAGGUGGAUUGAAGUCCAAUGAUUUGUUUGCUAUUGCUGUUGGAUUUUGCAUCAUAUCAACUAUCAUUGCCGCCCUUAGAGAUUUAUCUGCCUGCAUGACUUCUGGGGGAACAUGCCUUCUAGCUUUGAAGAGGGAUCUGCUUUUCUUCAUAUGGACGGUCAUCAUUCCUCUCUUGAUCGGUUUGCUGGUUGAUUUAUUACUGAUAUCACCCUUCGUUGGAACUGAUGAUGAUUUUCCAGCUCUAAACUUUUUCCGCACUUGGCUCCUGGGCCGGUUCUUUAAGCUCUUAUGGAUUAACCACGUCGAUGAAAGUUGGGAGGCGAAGCUUAAGCGUGCAAAUGAAGAUUUUUCUGCAGAGCUCAGACCAAUGUGGUGGUUCUUUCAAGAUGUGUGCAUUCCUGUUGCCAUGAAGCUACUCGUUGCUCUGGGUGUUCCUUAUGUUCUCGCCAAGGGCGUCUUCCCAAGAUUGGGCUACUCUGCCUCCGUGAACUUGAUAGUCUACCGUUUCUCAUGGUUGGGCAGCUUUGGCCUUUGCGUCUUCUACUAUCUUGGCAAGGUGUUGUUCGUUCAACUCCAUGAUUCUAUCAGGCACGACCGCUACGCCAUUGGGCGGAGGCUGGAAGACGUUGGAGACGGAAGCUGA